GCUCCGAUGGCCUAGUAGUUAGAGCGUCCGCCUCAGAUGUGUGAGUUCGUCGGUUCGAUCCACGGCUGAGUCA